rnacentral:rRNA from 1 species
GACAGAGGCCUCAAGCGUUAGGCGGAAUCACUGGGCGUAAAGGGCGCGUAGGCGGCCACCGCAAGUCGACUGUGAAAUCUCCGGGCUUAACCCGGAAAGGUCAGCCGAUACUGCGGGGCUAGAGUGCAGAAGGGGCAACUGGAAUUCUCGGUGUAGCGGUGAAAUGCGUAGAUAUCGAGAGGAACACCUGCGGCGAAGGCGGGUUGCUGGGCUGACACUGACGCUGAUGCGCGAAAGCUAGGGGAGCGAACGGG